rnacentral:rRNA from 1 species
GAUGAACGCUAGCGGCAGGCUUAAUACAUGCAAGUCGAACGGCAGCAUGCACUUCGGUGUGAUGGCGAGUGGCGCACGGGUGAGUAACGCGUAACAAAACCUACCUUUUACGUGGGGGAAAGUCGCUGGAAACGGCGAAUAAUCCCGCAUACGAUUAUGAAGACACAUGUUUUUAUAAUGAAAGGCUUCGGCUGGUAAAAGAUGGUUGUGCGUCCCAUUAGCUAGAUGGUAAGGUAACGGCUUACCAUGGCGACGAUGGGUAGGGGGCGUGAGAGCGUGAUCCCCCACACGGGUACUGAGACACGGACCCG